GUGGCUCUGGGACAGAACCCCAGGGGUAACGGCCAUGGAUGCUGGAAGGGGCCUGGCUGGGGGCAGGGACCAGAGGAUGAGGAUGGGGCCACAUGGACUGGGGUGCCCUGGGACAGCUGCUGCCAGCGAGAGACCGGGGCACCACUCUCCAGGGAGCCCACGCUGCAAGUCAGGCCACAAGGGCCUCCGACCCUGAGGGCUGAUGAGGCCAGGGACAGGCCAGCCGGGCCGUGAGGCCCCUGGUGAGCCAGGCCCCAACCUCAGGCAGCGCUGGCCCCUGCUGCUGCUGGGUCUGACGCUGGUAACCCAUGGCCUGGUGCACCCAACGGCUGCAUCGCAGAGCAGAGCCCUCGGCCCUGGAGCCCCUGGAGGAAGCAGCCGGUCCAGCCUGAGGAGCUGGUGGGGCAGGUUCCUGCUCCAGCACGGCUCCUGAACUGGCCCCAGGUGCUGGCCCCGGAGGUUUCAAUCCAAGCAUAAUUCACCGAGGCAUGUGUUUGGCAGCGGGACCCAGCUCACCGUUUUAGGUCAGCCCAAGGCCACCCCCUCAGUCACUCUGUUUCCGCCAUCUUCUGAGGAGCUGCAAGCCAACAAGG